rnacentral:rRNA from 1 species
AUUGAACGCUGGCGGCAUGCCUUACACAUGCAAGUCGAACGGCAGCACGGGUGCUUGCACCUGGUGGCGAGUGGCGAACGGGUGAGUAAUACAUCGGAACGUACCUUAUCGUGGGGGAUAACGCAGCGAAAGUUGCGCUAAUACCGCAUACGCCCUGAGGGGGAAAGCGGGGGACCGUAAGGCCUCGCGCGAUUAGAGCGGCCGAUGUCUGAUUAGUUUGUUGGUGAGGUAAAAGCUCACCAAGGCGAUGAUCAGUAGCUGGUCUGAGAGGACGAUCGGCCACGCUGGGACGGAGACACGGCCCCGACUCCUACGGGAGGCAGCAGUGGGGAGUUUUGGACAAUGGGGGCAACCCUGAUCCAGCAAUGCCGCGUGAGUGAAGAAGGCCUUCGGGUUGUAAAGCUCUUUUGUCAGGGAAGAAACAGCAGCUCUAACACAGUCUGCGAAUGACGGUACCUGAAGAAUAAGCACCGGCUAACUACGUGCCAGCCGCCGCCGUAA